rnacentral:rRNA from 1 species
AGCGAACGGCUGGCGGCAGGGCCUAACACAUGCAAGUCGAACGGAUCCUUCGGGAUUAGUGGCGGACGGGUGAGUAACACGUGGGAACGUGCCUUUUGGUUCGGAACAACUCAGGGAAACUUGAGCUAAUACCGAAUGUGCCCUUCGGGGGAAAGAUUUAUCGCCAUUAGAGCGGCCCGCGUCUGAUUAGCUAGUUGGUGAGGUAAAGGCUCACCAAGGCUACGAUCAGUAGCUGGUCUGAGAGGAUGAUCAGCCACAUUGGGACUGAGACACGGCCCAAACUCCUACGGGAGGCAGCAGUGGGGAAUCUUGCGCAAUGGGCGAAAGCCUGACGCAGCCAUGCCGCGUGAAUGAUGAAGGUCUUAGGAUUGUAAAAUUCUUUCACCGGGGACGAUAAUGACGGUACCCGGAGAAGAAGCCCCGGCUAACUUCGUG